GACGAACGCUGGCGGCGUGCUUAACACAUGCAAGUCGAGCGGUAAGGCCCCUUCGGGGGUACACGAGCGGCGAACGGGUGAGUAACACGUGGGUGACCUGCCCUCAGCUCUGGGAUAAGCCUGGGAAACUGGGUCUAAUACCGGGAUAUGACUCCAUGACGCAUAGUCGUGGGGUGGAAAGCCUUGUGCGGCUGGGGAUGGGCCCGCGGCCUAUCAGCUUGUUGGUGGGGUGAUGGCCUACCAAGGCGACGACGGGUAGUCGGCCUGAGAGGGCGACCGGCCACACUGGGACUGAGACACGGCCCAGACUCCUACGGGAGGCAGCAGUGGGGAAGUCUUGCGCAAUGGGCGAAAGCCUGACGCAGCGACGCCGCGUGAGGGAUGACGGCCUGGU
rnacentral:rRNA from 1 species